rnacentral:lncRNA from 1 species
UAAUUAAGGCAUUCUACGUGCGACUUAAAUAAUUUAAAUGAUAACAAAAGAGCGGUUGCUCUCUGAUCUAAUUGCAGACACAAUCUGCAGAACCGUCUUCUAUGGGAUUUGAACUUGUGAAGUGUGAGGUGGAGACCUGAAUGUAACAAAUUGGUGUUAAGUGAAUAAUUCCAAACAUAUAAAAUUUAGAUCAUCACACCGAACGCAAACAGAACAAUUAAAUAAACAACUGAAGGCAUACGCAAUCUAAUUAGACAAAUAAGUGAACUUUCCCAUGCCGAAAUCUGAAAGGCCAACAGAAAUAUCUCAUUACAGCACAGAAGACAAAACUUAGGACAAAACUUAAAACUAAUCAAACUUAGGUGAACCAAUUAUAGAGAACAUAACCCUUGUAACCAAUCGGGAAAAGAUGCUUUUAAAUCCCAGAAAAAAAAAUUAAGAGGAGUUUUUUAAAAAACCAUCAUUUCAAUUAUUUUCCAGUCUUACAUUUGGAUUAAACAGAAAAUAUAAGUAAAAAUGCCAACUUUCUAAAAAAACUACAACUAUUUUUACAAAUUUCCAUUACCCAAUGCUGAAAAAUGAGAAUCACGAAGCAAUGAAGAACGGAACACGCGAGAACCAAAAAGUUAAAAACAACACGUAACCAUUUCAAAGACCCAAAAUCCUGCAAGGACAAAAAAAUCCCAUAAAAUCAGUACAUCAGCACUCCCUGCAAAACCCCAAAAUCAGAAAAUUAUAAAAAGAACCCAAAAUCAGUGGCAUGGUCCUCGUUUCUCCAUCAUUCAGUAGCUAAUGACCUAAUGGAAAAGAACCCAAAACAUACAGCUUAAAAUAUGGAAAGUGCUUAUAAAAGCUCAUGAAUAACGUUCAAAGCCUGCAUAGAAAUGGUAUAGCGCAGAUAACAACAAACAAUAAAACUAUGCACAGUAUAACCUAAAUCCGAUAUGUUGCAUUCCCCACACACAGAUUGUUCAAAAUUAAUUUCGUCUCCGUCUUUUUUCAAAUCUGAUAAAAUCCCCAAAACACAAAAAAUAGCAGCUAACUAUUUUUUGAACUCUGUAAACAACGAUAUGCAUCUUAACCCAUUUAACAUAUUCAUAAAAUAACAUCAAACACAUUUAUGCAUGAGAUAAUAUAGAAGUGAAGUCUCACAACUUUCAUAAAAAAUUAUUACUUUGUUAGAGAAAGGCUUGAAAAAAUAUGUAAAUUACUCACCUCUAUUACAAAAAUGUUACAACAGUAGACAAAAAAGGCCAAAAAUACCAAAAGCCGCACCUCCUGAAAUAAAAAACAUAACCAAACGACACAUUCUCAGUAUCUAAACGAUAUCCAGAAAAAAAGAAAUGAACAGACGAAACCCAUGUAAAUAUACAGAACAAACCAAAAAAAAAAAAAAGAACUGAAGCCAGUAAGAAGAUCACAAAUCUGAUAAAGCAAAAGGUAACAUAAUCUAUAUCGAUUUAAUUAUCCAUCCAAAAAGACAUUUGAAUGAAGAACAUUUUUAAGGAUCCAAACAACCAUUAAACUAAACAAUUAAAAGUAAAAACAGCAAAGCAUUCAUUGAAGAAAUAUAUAUAUAUAUAUAUAUUAUAACGUAUUUUGUUCUUUAUACCUAAAAGAAAAACAUUGGCUUUCUUGUAUGCACUGAAGUAUGCAUGUGUCGGAAAUUUACAAUCUAUAGAGACUCAAUCUCAGACUCAAAAAGACAUCUAAAGGAAAAGUAAUAAGAAAAAUAAGUAGUGGUUUUACCUAUACUCCAUGUGUGGACUCCAAUUUUCAAUCACAAUUCAAAAUUCAAGAGGCCUAUAAAUCAACCACAUAGGAAAUGAUCAGUGGAAGAAAAAGAAAAACAACUGAAGCCAAAAUAGCAUCUAACAAAUCAUUUAGAACCAUCACAGAAAACAAUUUUUGCAUAUAAGUAAUUUAAAGGAAUACCAUCAGGUCAUGCAUAUAUACAACGUACCCAAUUAGAUAAGUAGCACAUCAACAAUUGAUGAUCAAAAAGUUAGUCAGCCUCAAUUGCUUGAAUCUAAUUAACUCAAAGAUAAUAAACAGUCCAUUUAAUGCACGGGCUGACUAUCAAUUUUAUAAAGCUAUAAUUCUGUGCAGUUCAAAAACCAAGUGGAAGAAUAGGCAAAAACUAUCUCAUCGCCUGUAAAUGUAAUUAACUAAAUAUUAAACUUCACAGCCACAAAUAAACCUAAAUUCCUCCUAAAACUAUCUCAUUUAAGCUUGAUUUUACUAUAAUCUAUAAGUGUGGUAAAAAAUGGGAGGCCAAACGAUUUGUUAACAAAAAAGGUAGACAUAAAAGUAAAAGGAACAGGGCAGACAUUAGUUGAGGAGAAGCUAAUGUCACCUUGAAUUGACGACAAACAGUUCUUAUCUUCUCGAAUUAACGAAGAUAAGUACCAUUUUUCUUUAAUUCAAGGUAAUAUAAAAAGAAAUUAUACCUGUACAGUGUUCAGAUGUAGCAAUCCUAUGCAAUCGGCCAAAUGAUGUGUGUCCUCUCAAAGAUCUGUAUAUCCAUUACAGACUAAUCUUCAGUCUUGCAGAAAAUGAUAUGUUGACUACAAUUUCCCAUACUACUAAAAAACACAAAUAAUUCUAUCUACAAACCAAAUAAUAUGUGCAACUUUAUGCUACAAUGGUAGAAUAAGAUGGUUGUACAGGACGACACAAAGAUUGAGACUUUUUUUUACUUCUAAAAUUCUACACACUUUCGAGCCCUAAAUUUUCCCGGAAACAAAAAAAAGUGAAAGAAGUCGUACCUGGUUUGAGAGAGUGGGACACCAUCGGCGAGUUUGGUGUAGCAGUGAUGGCGGAGAUCUCUGGUGAGAAAGCUAAUAAGAUGGACAAAAUCAUUGAACAAAAAAAACCUCGCUUUUUAAAAUUAAAGUCAACAAAAAUUUGAACAAAGAAAAGAGAACUCAAACCCGAAACAAAUAAGUCGGAGAACUCGCCAGGAAACCCAAAGUUUCUGCAGGAUUGGCGAUUUCCUGAAAACCAAGCUUUUGUAGGUUUAAAAUUUCUUCCCUAAGGCAACAGAUCCAACAUUCCCAACUUUAGCUAUUUCAGCUACAUAAUAGAAAGAAAAAAAAAUUUAUAUAAUUAACUAAUCUGAUUUAAGAUUAAUCGAAAAGCUUGGAAAUUUCAGCUUUAAAAUUACAUGUCAGGCUGCAAAUCUAAUAAAAAGCGUAGAAUUUUAAAAAUGCUGACCUUAAAUACAGAGGCCUUCGCAGGCUGCAAAGAAGCGUUAGAAACCCGAAAAACCGGAUCUCCUGAAACCAAAAACAAAACCAAAUUAACCAUCAUCACCCAUAAUUCGAAGCCACAAACAUAAUCCCCAAAAUUACAACCCAAAAAUUUAAACAAAAAAACCCAUUUAUAAAUCCAAAUUUACACUCCCAAGUGCAAGACUCUAAGCUCCAACUGUUCUUUCUCAACUUUAGCUAUUUCAGCAACAUAACAUAAAUAAAAAGGUCGUACCCAGUGCACAAGGCUCCCGCUUUACGCAGGGUCUGGGAGAGGUGAAUGUCGGCUAGCCUUACCCCCAUUUUAUGGAGAGGCUGCUCCCAAGUCUCGAACCCGAGACCUACCGCUCAUGGGCGAAGACACUUGCCAUCGCACCAAGUGCGACCUCUAGCAACAUAACAUAAAUAAAAAGAUCGUACCCAGUGCACAAGGCUCCCGCUUUACGCAGGGUCUGGGAGAGGUGAACGUCGGCUAGCCUUACCCCCAUUUUAUGAAGAGGCUGGAACAUAACAUAAAUAAAUAAACAAAAUUAAUUUAACUAUAAUUAACUAAUAUGAUUUAAGAUUAAUCAAAAAACUUGGAAAUCUGCUUGAAUCCAAUCUCAAAAUUGAAAACGAACACUUCACUUUUACAAAAGUUGUACAAAGCAAAAAAAAAAAAACAGACAAAUCAAAGUCUCACAAAGGGCCACAACGACAGCAAAAUUGCAACAGAAAGAGGAAAAAUGUUCAAUCAAACCAUUGGAUAACUCUUCUAAGGCAGCCAAAAAAAAACCCACAAAUUCAAAACCACAAAAAUCCAAUCUAAAACAUCGAUUCACAGACUGAGAUGCACAAAAUGAUAUAUUAACAAAUCCAAAACGAAAUACAAAAAUUAAGAACCAACAAGCAAAAAAAUACUGAUUAUCCCCUGCAUACGUGAGCACACGUUCAAAAAGCCUCUCAAAGGCUGAGAUUCAACUUUCAAACAUAAAGACUUUAAGCCACAAUUGUUCUUUCUUAACUUUAGCUACUUCAGUUACAUAAUCGGAAAAAAAAAAUUAUUUAAUUAUAGUUAACUAAUCUGGGUUAAGAUUAAUAAAAAAGCUUGGAAAUUUCAGAUCUAAAAUCACACCUCAGGCUGCAAGUAGAAUCAAAACCAUGGAAUUUCAAAAUCACUGACCUUAAACACACAGGUCUUCGCAGGCUUCAAAGAAAAGUCACAAACUCGAAAAACCCAAUCUCCUGAAAUCGAAAACAAAACCAAAUUAACCAUCAUCACCUAGAAUCCGAAGCUACAAAACAAAAUUCCCAAAAUCAAAACCAAAAAAUUUGAACAAAAAACUCAUUUAAUAUCCAAAUUUACACUCCCAAGCACAUAACAUUCAAAGCAGACAAUUACCCAAAUCAAAUCGACAGCAGGAGAUGCAAUCUUUUAUGGGCUUCAAAUUUUCUUCAAACCGAGACCAAAUUCGCUAGUUUUCAGCAAGAGAGCGUUGCCGUUUGUAACCCCCGAUGAAAAGAUCCAAACAAAUUUGACUAACAGUAGACAGAGAGAGAGAGAGAUAGAGAGAGAGAGGUGAAAAUUACUCGCUGGUGACGAAGCUAAUGAAUUCGGAGACGCAUUCCUGGACGGUGUUCGACUGAUCGGCACGAGUAGAGACACCAGAUCAGAAAGACAGAAAAAUUAGGGUUUGGGAGAUAAAGAAACUGGGGCAGAGAGAGAGGGAAAGAGAAGCAGAAAAGAGGAUAAUUUUAUGCAUUUUUUUUAGCCGCUUUGAAUUUUUUUUGGCCGACAGGCAUUUGCGUCCGAUUAUUUUUGUCGAAGCCGGUGACACCAAAACCGGCCUCCGGCUUUCGGACCAGGAUUGUCUGCCCCUUCAUUUUCCCUGCCAUGU